UGCAAAUCAGUCACCCAGAACAGUGAGCAGUGGGAUGGAGGCACAUGCGUUGGGGCUGCUCGUACAGCUCUCUCUGAUGGGUCUGUGCCAGGGAGUUGUGGUGACUCAAGAUAAAGCAUCUCUAGCGGUCCCUGCCGGAGAGUCAGCAGUAAUUUCCUGUAAGCACGAUGCCUCUAGUGGUUAUACCAUACUCUGGUACCAGCAGACACCAGGAGAAGGGCUGAAGCUUAUGGUUUUAUCACUAUCAGGAGAGAAUAAUCCAGAGAUGGAGUCAGAUUACAAGGAAGCAUGGACUUGCAAGAGAACUGAUGAGCACAAUUCAGUGCUGACUUUGGUGAAAGCAGCUGCUCAGCACUCGGCUGUUUAUUUCUGUGCAGCAAGUUACACAGCCACAUAAAGCUGAGACUAAGCCAACUCAAAACCAAUGGAUCAUACUGAGAUAGGGAAAGAGAACAAACAGUGUAGGUCUGUACCAAGCCAGCAGGGGGCACUGCUGCUACAGUCACCUGCUUAUUGUCUGUUAACCUGGAAACAAUUUGAUAAUGUUUUUUAUGCCAAUCUAUUAAAAAGAUUUGAGCUAGUAA